UAACAAGGUUUCCGUAGGUGAACCUGCGGAAGGAUCAUUACCGAGUGAGGGCCCUCUGGGUCCAACCUCCCACCCGUGUUUUCCGAACCCUGUUGCUUCGGCGGGCCCGCCUCACGGCCGCCGGGGGGCUUCCGCCCCCGGGCCCGCGCCCGCCGAAGACACCUGUGAACGCUGUCUGAAGUUGCAGUCUGAGAAACUAGCUAAAUUAGUUAAAACUUUCAACAACGGAUCUCUUGGUUCCGGCAUCGAUGAAGAACGCAGCGAAAUGCGAUAACUAAUGUGAAUUGCAGAAUUCAGUGAAUCAUCGAGUCUUUGAACGCACAUUGCGCCCUCUGGUAUUCCGGAGGGCAUGCCUGUCCGAGCGUCAUUGCUGCCCUCAAGCACGGCUUGUGUGUUGGGCCCCCGCCCCCCCCCGCGCUGGGGGGGCGGGCCCGAAAGGCAGCGGCGGCACCGCGUCCGGUCCUCGAGCGUAUGGGGCUUCGUCACCCGCUCUUGUAGGCCCGGCCGGCGCCAGCCGACCCCCCUCAAUCUAUUUUUCAGGUGACCUCNNAUCNGGUAGGGAUACCCGNNNAACUUAAGCAUAUCNANAAG
rnacentral:misc_RNA from 1 species